CCAUUUUUAAUGUAAAUGUCUUUUGAACUUGUUUCUCAGAUUGUUAUUCAAUGGAUCAUCCGGUAGGGGGCGGUAAUGCAACAGCCGCGCCGCGUUCAAAGAGCGAAGAAAAAGACACAGCAUGAACCAACAACAUCAGACUUCUGUGACUUUAAAACAGAGUGUUUAAAUGGCGUCAGGAAGCGCACUGAUCUUUGAUGAGGAAAUGAUUGGUUAUAAACUCCUCUGGACAGACGUCAGAAUGUACUCGGCAAACUCCCGAAUGGCUCCGUGGCCACCGGGUCUCUGGCAGAUGUAUUUAGCUGCAAUGAGAUCAGCCACAGGUGCAUCACAUGGGACGCCAUUCAGCCCCACCUGAGACAGGACAUCUACAUCUUCAGCUUCUGAACCUGUCACAGACUGCUCAAUAAACCUUUAAUUAUUUUGCAUGUGGUUCCAGGUUUGUUUACACCAUUCGUUUGGACCUUCACAUCUCUUACAGUGCAAAACAUUGCAAAAUGGUCUAGAGCAAAGCUUUACCUGACAGCCUAUGAUACAUGGAAUAAUUCAUUAAUAAAGGAGCCAGCGUCACAUUCUCUAUAUCUAUCGCCUCGAUGGCUGGCAAGUCUUUCAAUUCAGUAGAAAAGUCGCUCCUCUUCAUAACAUAAGGAUCACGUCCAACAUAUGUUAUGAUUUUCUGUUUAUACCUUUCUAAACCAGCACAGAACGGACUUUUCUCCAUCUCUCCCAUUCUAAUUUUCAUUGCUCGCCACCAUAUUUUCACGUGUCAUCAGAACCAUGUGAUUGCAAACAACCUAUUUUGCCUUAAUCAUGUUUCCUGCUUUCUGUUUUUCGUGUGAUUCCCUGUUCCCAUAAUGUGAUCAUGUCCUGUGCUUCCCAAAUCUUAUGUGUCAGGUUCUGUUGUUCUGGUUAUGUGUCCUUUUUUCUCAUUGUUUCCUUGUUAGUCAUUACACCUGUUCCGGUUUAGCUUUGUCCCUGUAGCUGCUGUUUGGUGAGUCCAUGUCAAGUCCAGGUUUAUGUUCAAGUUUUGUUUAUGGUCAUAGUUUUAUCAUGUCAAGUCUUUUUGUAUUUGGUUCACAUUUUGGUUAAAUAAACUACACAUGGGUUUUUACUG